rnacentral:misc_RNA from 1 species
ACGAGUUAGGGUCUUCUAGGCCCGAUCUCCCAACCCAUUGUUUACCACACCGUUUGUUGCUUCGGCGAGCCCGUCUUUCACGGACCGCCGGGGGACCGUAACAGGUCUCCUGGCCCGCGCUCGCCGGUAGCCCCAACCUCAAAACUCUUAACUAAACAUGUCUUGACUAAGUACCAAUUUUUUAAUUAAAAGCA